AAAUCUCUCAACUGGGGAUUCAUAUCAUCAGGCAGCAAUAAUGGAUUAUUGACAAUUUUAUCAUAGGUAUCUUGCAGUGUCUCUCCAAGGAAUGGAUAUUGACCGAGUAUCAUACAGUACAGGGUCACCCCAACUGCCCAAGUGUCAGCGGCUUUGCCAUGAUAAGUUAUACCUAAACAGCAUUCUGGUGCAGUAAAAACAGGAGUCCCAGGAGAACGGCGAAGCUCAUCGUUUUCAUCCUCAAAAACCUGGCUAACACUGAAGUCCCCUAUCUUCACGGUACCAUCACGAGUUAUCAACAAAUUAUCUGGUUU
rnacentral:misc_RNA from 1 species